rnacentral:sRNA from 1 species
ACUCAACGUUAAUUCUUUAAAAAGGGUGAGUUUUAAGUUGUAAAAGCAUGCUGCUAAUAGUGAUUUAUCACUGUUUGGGCAGAUCCUUGAUCAGCUUGUUAGCCCUAAACUUGUUUUUAAGGAGUUU